CUUGAGGUAAGUUUCACAAGUUAGGAAUCUGCUCAGACACCAGUUUUCCUAAUUUCUAUCUCUGUGUGAGAAAUACAAUCUAUUGUCUUCAUUGUCUGAGCAGACAAAUCUGAUUAUACCAUUGGGGAAACAUCAGUUGCCUUUGAAACGAUGUUCCCUCUUGUCUUCCAUUUGCUAUGUAGAAAAAGUACCUGAGUUCACCGGUAGUAUCUGGGGAUGUGUAUGCAGCUAUCUACAUUUUUUUCCCUGUGUAUCCAGCCGAUUUUGUUAACCUUUGUGCAAGUUCAAUCAUCAUUUCCUUAAAAUGAACGGCGAGCCUGUACUUGAAAUACAAAUGUUGUGUGAACUCUGCU
rnacentral:lncRNA from 1 species